rnacentral:lncRNA from 1 species
AUGGGGACGGAGUACCUGGUCACCGUCACCGCCCAGUACGCCAACAGCAUCGGCGAGUCGGUGUCCGGCCGGGCACGCACCCAGAGCCGUGCCGGCUCCGUGCUGGAUUUCCGUGUGGUGGAGACUGGACCGACCUUCCUACGGCUCGCCUGGCAGCCCGGCCCCGAGCCCCCCCAGGGCUACGGCCUCAGCUACGCCGUGAAAGGAGCAGCCCAAGAGGAGGAGAAGACCCUGGGGGCCAGCGCGCAGUCGGCCACGCUGAGCAACCUGCGCCCCGACACCGAGUACGUGGUGAUGCUCCGGCCCCGCUACGCGCAGCAGCCCAGUGUCCCCGCCACCCUCACUGCCCGGACACGACGCCUGCUGGGUGUGCAGCAUUUGGUUGUCCACAAUGUCUCGGCGCAGAGCAUGCUGCUGGCCUGGCAGCCUGUCAGUGGUGCCACCGGCUACCGGCUCUCCUGGGCAACCCUCGCAGGGCAGGACAGGCACAGGGUGGACCUGGAUGCCAGGCAGACAUCACAUGCGCUGGGGGGGCUGCAGCCCAACACUGACUACGUGGUGACGGUAGCCCCGCUCUUCGGGCAGCUGGAGGGGCCCACAGCCACCGUGAGGCAGAGGACAGAAGCGGGUCUGGAGCAGACACUGAGGACCAACAUCCUGGGCCCCACGUCCAUCCAGGUGCUCUGGACUGGCGCUCGCGAUGCCCGCGGCUACCGCCUGGAAUGGAAGAGAGCCACAGGACCAGAGCCCCCCAGGACAGUGUCGCUCCCCAGCAGUGCCAACACCUACCAGCUGACAGGGCUGCAGCCGGGCACCGAGUACCGCAUCACCCUCUACACGGUCUAUGAUGGUGGGGAGGUGGCCACCCCCGUCACCACCUUCCAGACAGGCGUGGAGGUGCCCGUGGGUGCCGUAUCGGACCUGAGGCUCAUUGAGGAGUCGGGCAGGCGAGUGCGGCUGGGCUGGACCGGCGUCCCCGGUGCCACCGAGUACAAAGUGGUGGUGCGCAACAGCCAAGAUGGCACGGAGAGGACAAGGCGCAUCCCGGGAAGCCAGACGGGGCUGGAGCUGGGUGACCUCCGGGAGGGCAUCGCCUACCUGGUGCGUGUCUCGGCACUAGUGGGUGGCCGGGAGGGCAGUCCUGCCACGCUGACCGUCCGCCUCAAGUACCCAGCGGUGGGCAGCAUCUCAGAGCUGCGGGUGACGGAGGCUGGUCCCAGCCAGCUGAGGGUUUCCUGGCGAGGGCUGCCGGGCGCCGGGGGCUACCUGCUGACCUGGCGAGGCAGCGAUGGUGUGGAGCAAUCCCGUUUCCUCCCUGCCGACCCCACCACCUUCACCAUCGAGGGGCUGCGUGCCAACAUUGUCUACACCGUCAGCGUCUCGGCCAUUGUGGAUGGCCGUGAGGGCAGCCCUGUCACUGCCACAGGACGGAUAGCCCCUGAGCAGGUGGGGAUGGUGUCCCAGCUGGAGGUACAGGCAUCCAAGAGCAACGUUGCCCGUGUCACCUGGGUCGGUGUGCCAGGAGCCACUGCCUACCGUGUGGUGUGGAGCCGCAGGGACGGGGGCUCGGAGAACAGCCGGCGGGUUCCUGGCAACACCAGCUCCUUCGACAUCCCCGACCUGGAGGGAGGUGUCUCCUACACCGUGAAGGUGACAGCGCUCAUCGGCAACCGGGAGGGCAACCCUGUCUCCAUCAUCGUCACCACCCCGGAGGCAGCCCCACUGCCCCCCGUCAGCAACUUCCAGGUGACGGAGGCCUCAGAGCACCGCCUGCGCCUGGCCUGGGUACCGGCGGCCGGCAGCGCCGGGUACCGCCUGGUCUGGCGCCUGGCUGAGGGGGGCCCCCAGCGCAGCCAGCAGCUCCCGGCCACUGCCAGCUCCUACGACCUGGGGGGGCUGGAGCCAGGACGGCGCUACCACAUCAGCAUCACCAGCCUGGCCAGCGGCCGGGAGAGCCAGCCGGCCACUGUCACUGCCAUCACUGCAGCUGCCCCGGCCCGUGUCACCAGCCUGCAGGUGACAGAUAUACGGAGAGACUCGGUGACACUCACCUGGACCCCUAUCCCUGGUGCCUCUGGCUACAUCCUCUCCUGGAGUCCCCCAGCAGGUGAGAUGGGUGGGUGGCCCCAGGACAUGGAACAGUGUCCUGGCGGGUGCUUGCCAUCCCCCCUGACUCUGUCCCCUGGGUGUCAGCCGGUGGGGAGACGAGGCGGACGCUGCCUGGUGCUGCCAGCUCCCAGCAAGUCUCCGGGCUGCGCCUGGGCCAGCGCUACACCUUCACCCUCCGCCCGCUCCUGGGGAGCACACCGGGCGCUGAGACCUCCGUCAGCGAGCGCACAGUCUGCAGGGAUGCCCGCGGUGACAUCGUCUUCCUGGUGCACGGCACACGCGACAGCUCCUCCGGUGCUGAUGCCAUCCGCACCCUCCUCUCCAACACCGUGUCUGCCUUGGGGCGCCUGGGCCCUGAGGGCACCCAGGUGGCUCUGGCCACGUACAGCUACCGCAGCCUGCCCUGGCUGCUCCUCAACCGCUCCAGUGACCUGCCCACCGUGCUGGAGCAGAUCCGCACCAUACGCUAUGAGGAACCCAGCGGCAACGCCAUCGGGGCAGCCAUCACCUUUGCCAGGACCUACUUAUUGA